rnacentral:rRNA from 1 species
GAGUUUGAUCCUGGCUCAGGAUGAACGCUGGCGGCGUGCCUAAUACAUGCAAGUCGAGCGAACGGACGAGAAGCUUGCUUCUCUGAUGUUAGCGGCGGACGGGUGAGUAACACGUGGGUAACCUACCUAUAAGACUGGGAUAACUCCGGGAAACCGGGGCUAAUACCGGAUAACACAUGAAACCGCAUGGUUUCAUGAUGAAAGACGGUCUUGCUGUCACUUAUAGAUGGAUCCGCGCUGCAUUAGCUAGUUGGCAAGGUAACGGCUUACCAAGGCAACGAUGCAUAGCCGACCUGAGAGGGUGAUCGGCCACACUGGAACUGAGACACGGUCCAGACUCCUACGGGAGGCAGCAGUAGGGAAUCUUCCGCAAUGGGCGAAAGCCUGACGGAGCAACGCCGCGUGAGUGAUGAAGGUCUUCGGAUCGUAAAACUCUGUUAUUAGGGAGAACAUAUGUGUAAGUAACUGUGCACAUCUUGACGGUACCUAAUCAGAAAGCCACGGCUACG